rnacentral:rRNA from 1 species
AAGUCGAGCGAACGGACGAGAAGCUUGCUUCUCUGAUGUUAGCGGCGGACGGGUGAGUAACACGUGGAUAACCUACCUAUAAGACUGGGAUAACUUCGGGAAACCGGAGCUAAUACCGGAUAAUAUUUUGAACCGCAUGGUUCAAAAGUGAAAGACGGUCUUGCUGUCACUUAUAGAUGGAUCCGCGCUGCAUUGCUAGUUGGUAAGGUAACGGCUUACCAAGGCAACGAUGCAUAGCCGACCUGAGAGGGUGAUCGGCCACACUGGAACUGAGACACGGUCCAGACUCCUACGGGAGGCAGCAGUAGGGAAUCUUCCGCAAUGGGCGAAAGCCUGACGGAGCAACGCCGCGUGAGUGAUGAAGGUCUUCGGAUCGUAAAACUCUGUUAUUAGGGAAGAACAUAUGUGUAAGUAACUGUGCACAUCUUGACGGUACCUAAUCAGAAAGCCACGGCUAACUACGUGCCAGCAGCCGCGGUAAUACGUAGGUGGCAAGCGUUAUCCGGAAUUAUUGGGCGUAAAGCGCGCGUAGGCGGUUUUUUAAGUCUGAGUGAAAGCCCACGGCUCAACCGUGGAGGGUCAUUGGAAACUGGAAAACUUGAGUGCAGAAGAGGAAAGUGGAAUUCCAUGUGUUAGCGGUGAAAUGCGCAGAGAUAUGGAGGAACACCAGUGGCGAAGGCGACUUUCUGGUCUGUAACUGACGCUGAUGUGCGAAAGCGUGGGGAUCAAACAGGAUUAGAUACCCUGGUAGUCCACGCCGUAAACGAUGAGUGCUAAGUGUUAGGGGGUUUCCGCCCCUUAGUGCUGCAGCUAACGCAUUAAGCACUCCGCCUGGGGAGUACGACCGCAAGGUUGAAACUCAAAGGAAUUGACGGGGACCCGCACAAGCGGUGGAGCAUGUGGUUUAAUUCGAAGCAACGCGAAGAACCUUACCAAAUCUUGACAUCCUUUGACAACUCUAGAGAUAGAGCCUUCCCUUCGGGGGACAAAGUGACAGGUGGUGCAUGGUUGUCGUCAGCUCGUGUCGUGAGAUGUUGGGUUAAGUCCCGCAACGAGCGCAACCCUUAAGCUUAGUUGCCAUCAUUAAGUUGGGCACUCUAAGUUGACUGCCGGUGACAAACCGGAGGAAGGUGGGGAUGACGUCAAAUCAUCAUGCCCCUUAUGAUUUGGGCUACACACGUGCUACAAUGGACAAUACAAAGGGCAGCGAAACCGCGAGGUCAAGCAAAUCCCAUAAAGUUGUUCUCAGUUCGGAUUGUAGUCUGCAACUCGACUACAUGAAGCUGGAAUCGCUAGUAAUGCCGUAGAUCAGCAUGCUACGGUGAAUACGUUCCCGGGUCUUGUACACACCGCCCGUCACACCACGAGAGUUUGUAACACCCGAAGCCGGUGGAGUAACCUUUUAGGAGCUAGCCGUCGAAGGUGGGACAAAUGAUUGGGGUGAAGU